AGCAGUAAGGGAAUAUUGCUCAAUGGGGGAAACCCUGAAGCAGCAACGCCGCGUGAGGGAUGAAGGGCUUUUGCUCGUAAACCUCUGUAGUGAGGGAAAAAAUUUCCACUCUGUGGAAUAUGAUGGUACCUCAAAAGUAAGCCCCGGCUAACUACGUGCCAGCAGCCGCGGUAAUACGUAGGGGGCAAACGUUGUCCGGAUUUACUGGGUGUAAAGGGUGCUCAGGCGGUUUUGUAAGUCAGAAGUGAAAUCCUAGGGCUUAACUCUGGAACUGCUUUUGAUACUGCAAGGCUUGAAUGUGGAAGAGGAGGAUGGAAUUUCUGGUGUAGCAGUGAAAUGCGUAGAUAUCAGAAAGAACACCAGUGGCGAAGGCGGUCCUCUGGUCCACUAUUGACGCUAAAGCACGAAAGCGUGGGGAGCAAACAGGAUUAGAUACCCUGGUAGUCCACGCCUUAAACGAUGAAUACUAGACGUUGGGGUUAAACUCAGUGUCGCAGCUAACGCAUUAAGU
rnacentral:rRNA from 1 species